UGCAGCAUGCAGUACUCAGGAGAGUACAACCUUCCAGAAUUUCCUCCACUGUCUAAAAACGCCUCGGACAAAGAAAGAUAAGUUAGCACAGACUAGCUGCCAUGGGGACUUCUGGCUCAAAUCCUGGUUAAAACAUCUGUAAACAUUUUACUGGCACCGUCAAUGUCAUUUGUGCCGCCAGCUGAAUUUCUUUCUGGCUCCAACUUUGAACUGUCCUUACCAAGAUGGAGAACACUAGGAGCUGCCAAAGGCCCCCGGCUUGACUCGGAACUGGCUUUUCUUCUCCUUAACUCAUCAACAAACAUCUCUUCCAUCAAAGCAGAGGCUGACCCAGUGCCUGAGGCAAAGGUCUUUGAGGCCUGCAGAUUUCACCCCUUUCUUGACCUUACCGAUCCUUCAAAGGAGCUGCAACUGAUGUCCUCUCCCUUCUGACUGGAGCUCUGCCCUGGUCUCGCCUUGGGCGUGUGGUGCGACCUCGCGCUCCCUGCAUGGCAACAUGGCAGUGAUGCUGUGAAAUGUCACUUUGCCAUUGCUCACAGAGGCAGCGAGUUGCUGCAGGGCCUCAUCCAUGGUGGUGGGAAACAAAUGAAACAAGAGUCACAGUUAAAGGUCAAACUACAAGGCUCAUGAAUACAGUCCAGAACAGCUGUAUAUUAAUUAUUAAUGUGAGUGGAAUAUAUUCAUAUAUGGUGUUGCUGAAUAGAUAUUAAGCAAAAUAAUGCUAGUAUGAAAAUGAACAUUUCGAUUACACCACUGACAAAUGUUGACUGUUUUUUGUGAAAAUCAGAAAGACAGAAGUGCAAACCAAACUCUCUGGAAAAAGAGUGCAUUCUCUCACCAUGUCAUUUCAGCAAAGAAAAUAUGUGAACUAUAUCAGUUCUAGCACGAUGUAUACAAUGUAUUAGAGCUGCCCCCCUUAAAAAGCAAUCACUCCAGUAAUCCUCUGGACUGUAAAGGACGAUAGGUUAGGACAGAUCACUCACAAAGAUGGCAUAUACUUCCAGCUACAGCUUUUCCUUGUAUUAUAACUUCAAAGAGAUAUAAAACUCUGCAGGACUGAGAUAAAGUAACCUUGAUAAUUCUACUGCAUCUUAUAAAUAGGCUAUUUAAUAUUAUAACUAGCCUGGUGAGAAUGAUUGAGUCAAAAUAUAAUUAACCUCCCUGCUUUCUGAAUUCACACUAAUUUAUUUGGGUUUAGCAGCCUCCCUUGUUUUCCAAGAAUUAAAAUUCUCAACCUUUUAUUUAAAAAAAAAAAAAAAACUCAUAACCUACUGCCACCAUUAAAAAGCCACUGAACUUAUUUAGUAUUGUACGCCUGUAACAUUGUCAGACAAUCAUUCCCUCUGGAGCCUCAAAUAGUUUUAUACAACUUUUUAAGUGCAAACAGACUUUGAUGUGCGAAAUCAAUGUAGCUCCCCUUUACAGUCCAAUAACUUCAGGUUGGACAGAUGAUAUUUUAAUUAGUGUACAAUGACUUGACAAUGACUAUUACAGAGGACUUACUUUACAUUUCUUGUCUGUUGGUUGAUCGGUCCAACACUUUGGUCUAGACUGAAAUGUCUCAGCUUGAUUUGCAUAUAUUCAUGAUCCCUGGAGGAUGAAUUGUUAACUUUGGUGAUAGCUUAAUAUUUCCUCAGGUAUUUAUGACCAAAUACCUGGAAAUCUCAGAGCCUUAGCUGUACUUCAUGCUAAAUACUAAACCCCUACACUAAGAUCUUGAACAUGGUAAAUGACCUGCUCCAUCAGCUUCUUAUUGUGAUCAUUGUGAGCAUGUUAGCCUACUAACAGGAGCAUUUAGCUAACAGAAGUGUUGUACCUAAGUACAGCCUCACAAACCUGCUAAUGGCUGUAGACUCUUAGAAUUGUGAGAAAGAAAAAAAAAAGUGGGGGGGUUGUAUGGUUAUAUGCUGUUAAAUUCAUUCUUGAUAGUGAUAAUAAUGAUUUUGUCUUGAGUUGUAGCGCACAGGCUAUGUUCUGCAUCUGGUAGAUUUAUGUCUUUGUGUAUUUUUUUUCUCAGCCAAGUUUCUAUUUGCUGUUACUUUCUCUGUGUGGUUGAUUCGAUUUGGAAAUCUUUUUCUAGUGUAAAAUUCUAUCUUCCCCAAGAUACAGAAGGAACUUUUUCAAAGAGAAAUGUUCGUGUCGUCCUGAGACGAAAUGUUCAGAGGUAGAAACUACACUGUGCUCUUUGCUGCAGUGAACUGAGAUGCACUGAGAGAAAUU